UUCGGAGGCAGCGGAGCCGCGGCGCCUCAGAGGGUUCCCGAGGGCCGUGGAGCCUGCGAAGGCUACCUCCGCCGGCUGACGCCUCAGCCUUCGCCCCGCGCGCCGGUCUCGGGCUUCACGGAAAUGAAAACAAGCCAAGAGUAAAACAAAACCAGUACAAAUCCCCAAGUCAAAGCAGCUACAAUCAAAUUCAAGGAAAGCAAAGAUUGCCAGAGACUGUCCGUGAAAUCGUCUUCAUCCUUUGCGCUCCCCUCUGACCUGCUCUAGUGGUUGGCUUCCUAAGCUCUGGUGUCAGAUCUGCAAAUCCUUCCGUGGGAGCACAUGGGACACUUAGGAUGAAGGAUGGUUAGGAAUGGCUUCUUCCUGAGCUUACAAAUAUCACCUGAUCCAUCCUGGCAACACCUGGUUUAUAAAGCAAGCAACUACAGUGGUCAUCUUCUUUCCAGAGGUUAUGUCAAAAAGUACUGUAUCUGCUAUUGAAAAAUCACAUCUCAGAAGCAGCACCACUUGCUGACAGCAUCUGCCAAGAUUUCCGAUGAGGCUGAUGGAAACUCGUUCCAUUUUCAUGCUGUAUAAUGAGUAGACAGAGUCCUCGCACAUCUGCUCAGGCGAGAUAAUGAUGAUAUUAUUACUAGAAGCAUUGUGCUGUAAAGAGAAUCUAUUUUUUUCCUCUCUCCUACCCCCUGCCUAUAUCUAGCCUCACUUUCUUUCCACUCUUCUCUCUUUACUGUCCUGUGUCUCUCCACUUCUCGUGUUUAUUUUCUUGCUCUCUCUCUUCCUGUUCUUUCUUUCUUUCCUCACCUCAGUGCCCCACCCAGCUUGUGGAAACCCAGGGGACAAAGUGAGGAAUUCUUCUCCUAUGGAAGAGGGGCCGCUGAGAAGGCGCUGGGGCCAGGGGCUGGCUGCCGAGAUCAGGGGAGAGGGGUCUUGGGUCCCUCCUCCGAACCCUGGGGCCGCCUGCAUUGGAGGGCCCUCUCCCACUCCCCAGCAAGAGCCCUUCUGCCCCGUCAGAGAAACCUCUGGGCUUGCCCUGUGCCCAACCUCAUCAGCAAAGAAUCAAGUGAGACAGCAGUGUGACCAGCUCACUUCUGCCAGAGAGACAACAGAUGGAAAGGGCUUAAUGUAUUUAGCAUCCAGGAAUAUUUUGCAUCAUAACUGGACACUUUCUGGAUACGUGACUGAUUUACAAAGGGAUGAAAUUUUCACGUUGGAAUAUAGUAACAAAAAAUCAGAAUGCGGGGGGGAGUAUCAGGGUCAGGGGGAGCCUUCCUUGUGUUUCUCAGAUCAUUCAUUCAUUCAUUUUUGUCAACAGUCUCUCAGCACCUAUUCUGCAGUAGGGAAUGAGCUGGUUGCUAAGGCACACAGAUGGAAAGCUAUGGUUCCCGUCUCCCAGGGCCUUAAAUCUACCCCACGGCUAAGUUCUACCCAACCCAGAUAUAUUUUUGUUCUUGAACGUGCCUCCUGUGUGGAAGCAGGAUCCCCUUGGGGCCCCUUCACUAUGCAAUUACCUUGGGCACCAGUAUAAAGAUGGAGUGGUAUGAAUUCCCUCACGUUGAUCCAUUAAUCCAUCCGUCCAUUUGCUCAUCUACCUACCCAUCCAACCAUACACCCUUCCACCCAUCCAUCCAUCCAUCCACCCACCCUUCCACCCAUCCAUCCAUCUAUCCACCCACCCUUCCACCCAUCCAUCCAUCCACCCACCCAUCCAUCCAUCCAUCCAUCCAUCCACCCACCCUUCCACCCAUCCAUCCAUCCAUCCACCCACCCUUCCACCCAUCCAUACAUCCAUCCACCCACCCUUCCACCCAUCCAUCCAUCUAUCCACCCACCCUUCCACCCAUCCAUCCACCCACCCUUCCACCCAUCCAUCCAUCCAUCCACCCACCCCUCCACCCAUCCAUCCAUCCAUCCACCCACACUUCCACGCAUCCAUCAUCCUUCCAAGCAUGCAGUAGGAGGUCAAUUAACAGCUCAGUGAGGAGCGGGGCACCCCUAAACCAUUAUUGUGGUUGGGAGCUAGGCAAAGACACACCCAGUAGUUGCAUGUAGUGUUCAUGAUUGACAACUCGCAAGUGAAUGGUUCCUGAAUCCUGGGCUGUGAUGUGAGAAAGAGAGAUGGGAUGAAUUUCAAGGACUGAUUACAAAGGUUCACAGGGAGCUGCUUAAAUUUAAUCAAAAGAGUGUCUGCCUUUCUCCCCAGACUGGGCGAGAGCUGCUCGGGGAAGGCAGAGGCUCGUGUAAACUGUCCUUCCACAGAGUUCUUGCUAUGGAGUUUUCCUCGCAGUGAUGCCCACUGCAUCACAGAGGUGCCAUUCUGAUAGUUCUUGCUUUCUUCUUAAACAAACUAAGGCUAAGUUCCCCAGAGAGUUUCCAUUGAAAGAUGCCCCCCAAAUUGGAGAACUCGGUGGAAAUCAAGAUCUGAAAUCAUUCCUUUGCUCCCCAACUGUUGUAUUCCAGUAUUUUCCUCGUUGCAGGAAUUCUGACUGAAAUGUACUCAUUUCUUUUCUUUUCUUUUCUUUUCGGCCGAGCCGUGCAGCACGUGGGACCUUAGUUCCCCAACCAGGGUUCAAACCCACACCCCCUGCAUUGGAAGCACGGAGUCUUAACCACUGCAUCGCCAGGGAAGUCCCCUGAAAUGUACUCAUUUCUAAUGUUAAUUUGAGUUGUGUCUCUUUUUAAAAAUGCCCCCCACUUCCCUUCUGAAUGUCAGGUGGCACACUCAUUAGUCGUCUGGAAUAAGUCUGUCUCCAGCUGAAUGAGACUUGGAAAGAGGAAAUAGGGGGCAGUGGUUAGAGCCCUGAGUGGUCAGGAGUCCUGGUUCCCAUGUCUUACUCUGCCACUGAGUCACUUGCUGCCACUGGACAAGCGACUUGGUUUUUCGGAGUUACCGCCUAACUGCCAAAGGGUUAAAUCCAGGAUACCACAUUGCCUUCAGAGGUUUAUCAUUGUUUUAAAAUUCUUUAUAGAUCAUGCAACACCUUCAUGCGUGCCCCCAGGGCUGACUGCUUCCACUGCCCUGACCUUAGUAUACCACUGAUUCCACUAAACCACUGUGGUAUCAGAGGCAAGAAUGUGAUAUGAUAUGCUGGACCGUCGGAGCACCAACACUACACUUUGUCAAGCUGGAGCUCCAUCAGCGAGACACUUCAACAGUGACUGGAGAACUUGCUGCUACCUGAGAGGUGUGCACAGGUGCUAUGUGACCCCUCCAGCCUAAGUGCCCUGAAGACAGCUUUGUGAAGGAAGAGGUACACACCCUUUAUCUUCAAGGAUAGUUACCUUUAUAGGUAAAGGGACAUAGCACAAGGGCCUUGUGAGAGGAACAAAGACACAGAGAUUGGAAACUGCAGGGUCUAUUCUGGAAAGAGGGGCUACUCCAAUCUAGUUAAGCACUGGUGUUUCAGAAUUAUCAGCUGCCAUGAUGGGACAGGUGGGGAGAGACAAAUGGUGCUCACUUGAUCAGUGCCAUGCUCUAGGAAGCCUGAAACGCUCCAGUUUGGGUGGGCAGAGGGGACCCUGUGCUGGUCUCUAGUCUGAGUCCUGUUUCAGCUACCUGCUAAUUAUGUGGCCCUUUGUCUUUCAUGAGUCUCAGAACAGCUAUAAGAAGGGGCUGGUAAUCACUGUCUUUCCUCCCUCACAGGGUAACUGUAAAGCACAAUAUAAACAUGAAAGGUUAUUAUCUCCUCCACGUCCAGACCUAACUAUAGAUUCACCCAUCUUAGGUUGUUGCCCCAGCCUCAGAGGAGUGACCCUCAGGCCUCCUCCUUGGUUUCAUCCAUGAUCUCCCAUAUUUCUAGUAUUUUAAGUAUUUCCCUCUCUCUCUCCUGAGUGUUUUUUCUCUGUCUCCAAAUAUGCUCUGAUCUUAAAAAAUAAAGAUCCUUCCUUGGAUCUUCUGUAUCUCCUAAGACACUAUCCAUUUCCCUUGUUCUCACCAAACUUCUUAAAAGAAUAGACUAUUUUCUCACCUUUUCUCAUCUUCUACCCACUGUUAACUAUGCCUCCUCCAAUGUCCAAUUAAGAGUGGGCCCUCUCCUACAGUGUUGGUGGGAAUGUAAAUUGAUACAGCCACUGUGGAGAACAGUAUGGAGGUUCCUUAAAAAACUAGAAAUAGAGUUACCAUAUGAUCCAGCAAUCCCACCCCUGGGCAUAUAUCUGGAGAAAAACAUGGUUGGAAAGGAUACAUACACCCCAAUGUUCAUUGCAGCGCUGUUUACAAUAGCCAAGACAUGGAAGCAGCCUAAAUGUCCAUCAACAGAUGAAUGGAUAAAGAAGAUGCUGUAUAUACACACAAUGGAAUAUUACUCAGUCAUAGAAAAGAAUGAAAUAAUGCCACUUGUGGCAACAUGAAUGGACCUAGAGAUUAUCAUACUGAGUGAAGUAAGUCAGACAGAGAAAGACAAAUAUCAUAUAAUAACACUUAUAUGUGGAAUCUAAAAAAAUGAUACAAAGGAACUUCUUUACAAAACAGAAAUAGACUCACAGACAUAGAAACAAACUUACGGUUACUGAAGGGGAAAGGGGGAGCAGGGAUAUAUUAGGGAUGUGGGAUUAACAGAUACACGCAACUAUAUAUAAAAUAGAUAAAAAACAAGGCCCUACUGUAUGGGACAGGGAACUAUAUUCAAUGUCGUGUAAUAACCUAUGAUGGAAAAGAAUCUGAAAAAGUAUAUAUGUAUAUAUAUAUAUAACUGAAUCACUUUGCUGUAUACCUGAAACAUUGUAAAUCAACUAUACUUCAAUUAAAAAAAAGUUUUUUAAAAGAGUGGGCCCUCAAAGGCCAUAAUGCCAGCACCUAGGGGCUUCAUCCUCUUAUCCUGCCUGGUUUAACCUGCCCUGGUGAAAUGCUUGCAUUAUGGCUUCCUCAACCCGCCCCCCUUUCCUUUUCCUUCUCCCCCCUUCUCGGAGUUGGGGGUCCCUCAGAUUCUGCUGACCUCGGGCUUUUCCUCACUCAGCACACUCUGCUGGGAACACUUAGUUAACCUCAUGGCUUCCACAGUCCUCUUGCAGAUGAAGCACAAAUACCUUUAAUUCUGACUUUCUCUCCCUUAAUCCAGUCCAAUGGUUUCCAACUGACCUGUCAAAGCAUCGAUUUGAACAUCCUGAGACUCCUCAGGCUCAGCUUGUGCAAAGCUGAGGCCAGCUUCUCCUCGCUUGUGACUGUUCUUUCUCUGUUGUUCCAUAUACGUGUUUUUUUUUUAAUUUUAUUUAUUUAUUUAUUUAUGGUUGUGUUGGGUCUUCAUUGCUUCACGUGAGCUUUUUCUAGUUGUGGAGAGCAGGGGCUACCCUUUGUGUGGUGCGCGGGCUUCUCAUUGCGGUGGCUUCUCUUGUUGCGGAGCACGGGCUCUAGGCACGAGGGCUUCAGUAGUUGUGGCUUGCGGGCUGUAGAGCGCAGGCUCAGUAGCUGUGGCGCACGGGCUUAGUUGCCCCAUGGCAUGUGGGAUCUUCCCAGACCAGGGCUCGAACCCACGUCUCCUGCAUUGGCAGGCAGAUUCUUAACCGCUGUGCCACCAGGGAACUCCCCAUAUAUGUUUUUUAAUGGUCCCACCAUCAUUUAUGUCAUUGUAGCCUAAAGAUUUGACUCCUCCAACUCCUAUACAUCAUAUAUUAAAGCAAUCACCAAAUCCAAUUAAUUAACCCGUAUAAUUGUCCCUGAAAUAAUUCACCUCUCUUUUAUUCUUAUCGCCACUAUUCUUUGAGAAGGGGUUUGUUUUGUUUUGCUUUGUUUUUAACUGGGCUGUUCUAAUAGUUUCUCAAGUGGUCUUCCUGAUACCACUCUUUUUACCUUUUUUUUUCCUGCGGUACGCGGGCCUCUCACUGUUGUGGCCUCUCCCGUGCGGAGCACAGGCUCUGGACGCGCAGGCUCAGCGGCCAUGGCUCACGGGCCCAGCUGCUCCGCGGCAUGUGGGAUCUUCCCGGACCGGGGCACGAACCAGUGUCCCCUGCAUCGGCAGGUGGACUCUCAACCACUGCGCCACCAGGGAAGCCCAAGAUACCACUCUUUUUAAAUCAAAACAAUCUUUCACAUUCCUGAUGGUUCUCUCUUUAAAGACAGAUUUGGUCCUGCUUAAAAAAUUCCCAUUGUUUGCAGAAUAAAGUCACAAUUCUUUAAAAAAAA